CGUGCGCCGGGCUCUCUGGGACGUGUUCUAGAACGUUCCGGAACAUUCCACAGAAUUCCUCGCGAUUCCAAGGACAUUCCCUGGGCAUUCUAGAACAUUCUGGAAUCCUGGAAACACCCACCAGGGGUUCUGGAAAAUUCCAAGGCCCAAGAACGCACGACAGACUCUCCCAGAAUUCCCUGGGAGCACUGACCGUUCCGGAACGUCCCUGGUGUCCACCAGGAUGUUUGCACAACCUUCGGCCCGCCAACUCCUCCCCCAGCCCUGGCAAUAAAUAGACGCCGGGUCCCCGCCGGCUCAGACGACGACGAAGACGAUGGUGAUGAAGAUGACGGUGACGAAGGCUCUCCUCCUCGCCCUCACGGUGGGCGUGGCCUGUGCGGACGUCGACCCCGCCCAGCUCUCCGGGCCCUGGCGCACCUCCGCCAUGGCCUCCAACAACCUGGAAAUGAUCCUGAAGGAUGGGCCACUCCGGAUGCUGUUCCGCGAGAUGGAGUGCAACGAGGACUGCAACGCCCUGAACGUCUUCUUCUACGUCAAGAAGAACGAGGUAUGCACCCCGCACACGGUUGUGGCCCAGAAGAACGCAGACUGGCAUCUACACCACUGACUGUGAGUACAGAGCAUUUCGGAAAGUUCCAGACAAUUCCAGAUGACCCCAGGGAAUGUCCGGUGUGUUCCAGAAUGUUCGAGAAUGUUCCCAGAAAUGUUCCAGGAUGUUGCAAAUGUCCCAGAAUGCUCCAGUUCCUCAAUGUUCUAGAAUGUUCCAGAAUGCGCUAGAAUGUCCCAGCAUGCCCCGGCACAUCCAGAACACCCACCUCUCUCCCUACAGUCGAGGGCCAGACCUCCUUCCAGUUCCAGGAAUUGGAUCCCACUAGCCUCAUCGUCUUCAUCAAUAACAUGGCAUCCGGCGGCACCACCAGCCGCCUCAGCUUCCUCACUGCCAAAUUGAAUUUCAUAAACGAUGACGCGCUGGACGACUACGCGAGGCUCACGGAGCAGAAUGGGAUCCCGCGGAAGUACAUCCGGCGUGUGGCCGACACAGACACCUGUCCACCCUGAGGACGCCUCCCUUGGAGAAGGUGCCAGAACGUUCUAGACCAUUCCAGAACCGCCCCUGAUCGCCUCACCAUCUCCUCCCACCUGCGAAUGCGCUAGCAUGCUCCGGACAUUCUAGAACGUUCUGGAUUGAUCCAAGAUGGUCUGGAUCGUCCCAGAAUUUCUAGAAAGCUCCGGAACAUUCUAGAAUCGGCCGUCCCCGGCUUUCUCUGCUUCCUGUUCAUGGAAUAAACUCAUCCUAGGCACAG